AAGAUCAUACUUCAUAGGAUCAUUUCUAUAGUAUGAUUAGCGAGUUCACUCAACGAACUUCGCAAAAAUCCCAACUACGAUGAUGUGAGAAGGGAUCUUUUCCUGAGCGUGAAGCGGAUUCGGUUGAAAGUUUCUGCUUUCAGUGAGUCAUUGAUGAUCGCACCUUUAGCUAUUGUAGCAAAAGGAAGGAAGAGAUUCGUUCUGAGUGU